ACAUUGCUCUGAAUAUACUUUAAUUUCAGAAAUUCGCAGUUUGACAUUUAUAAGCAUAUUUAUUUUAAGUGUAUACAAAUGUAAAAUAUCUGUCCAUGGAUUAAUACUACCUAUGACAUCUAACUACUGUGCUGUUCUGUUGCACUCGUUUCUUCAAAUAGAGGUAUGCUAUACCAUAAUCAAGAUAUGUCCAAUAUGGUUAAUAUGAACGACAAGACCAUUAUCAAGACUACAAUCGUGCCACUGCAGAAGACAGAAUCGAAAUGGGGUUUUGAUAAAGCCGUGAUUGCGACACUGAAUCACUGUCAGGUGAUUUGUUAAUAGGAGGACUGCCACUCUCCAAAACUAUACAUCCAACUUUAGCGAUACAUGGACUGCCACUCUUAAAUCUAAAUGUACACAGCAUAUCAUAGUAUAUAGUUGACAGGAAUCCAUAACAGAGGAAGAAACAAUUAUAUAGUCGUAGAGCCUUCUAUUAGUCCGCCCUAUGAAAUAAUUAUUGUUAGGAUCAGUCAUUAACGGACUUCAAUGGUGAUUCUUCCCGUUUGGGAUAAAAAAUUAAAAAAAACCAAUCAAAAAACCCCCAAACAAACCAUCCCAAUAAGUUAUUUAUUAAUUUGUAACUUGUUUCUUAUGUAUAUUUAUAA